UGGGGAAUAUUGCACAAUGGGCGGAAGCCUGAUGCAGCGACGCCGCGUGAGGGAUGACGGCCUUCGGGUUGUAAACCUCUUUCAGUAGGGACGAAGCGUAAGUGACGGUACCUGCAGAAGAAGCACCGGCUAACUACGUGCCAGCAGCCGCGGUAAUACGUAGGGUGCGAGCGUUGUCCGGAAUUACUGGGCGUAAAGAGCUCGUAGGCGGUUUGUCACGUCGUCUGUGAAAUCCUAGGGCUUAACCCUGGACGUGCAGGCGAUACGGGCUGACUUGAGUACUACAGGGGAGGCUGGAAUUUCUGGUGUAGCGAUGGAAUGCACAGAUAUCAGGAAGAACACCAAUGGCGAAGGCAGGUCUCUGGGUAGUAACUGACGCUGAGGAGCGAAAGCAUGGGUAGCGAACAGG
rnacentral:rRNA from 1 species